rnacentral:rRNA from 1 species
AUACGGAGGAUGCGAGCGUUAUCCGGAUUUAUUGGGUUUAAAGGGUGCGCAGGCGGAAUGGUAAGUCAGCGGUGAAAGUCUGCAGCUCAACUGUAGUUGUGCCGUUGAUACUGUCAUUCUUGAGUAUAGAUGAGGUAGGCGGAAUGAGUAGUGUAGCGGUGAAAUGCAUAGAUAUUACUCAGAACACCAAUUGCGAAGGCAGCUUACUAAACUAUAACUGACGCUGAGGCACGAAAGCGUGGGUAUCAAACAGGAUUAGAUACCCUGGUAGUCCACGCAGUAAACGAUGAUUACUGGUUGUUUGCGAUACACAGCAAGCGACUGAGCGAAAGCAUUAAGUAAUCCACCUGGGGAGUACGUUGGCAACAAUGAA